rnacentral:rRNA from 1 species
AAUGAACGCUGGCGGCGCGCCUAAUACAUGCAAGUCGAGCGAGAAGACGUAGCAAUACGUUUGUAAAGCGGCGAACGGGUGAGGAAUACAUGGGUAACCUACCCUAGAGUGGGGAAUAACUAGCCGAAAGGUUAGCUAAUACCGCGUACGCUCCUUGGACUUCGGCUCAGGGAGGAAAGCGAUGCCGAGGGUAUCGCGCUCUUGGAUGGGCUCAUGUCCUAUCAGCUGUUGGUGAGGUAACGGCUCACCAAGGCUUCGACGGGUAGCUGGUCUGAGAGGACGAUCAGCCACACUGGCACUGCGACACGGGCCAGACUCCUACGGGAGGCAGCAGUAAGGAAUAUUGCGCAAUGGGCGAAAGCCUGACGCAGCGACGCCGC